rnacentral:rRNA from 1 species
GUCUAUGGCCAUACCACCCUGAAUGCGUCUGAUCUUGUCUGAUCUCGGAAGCUAAGCAGGGUCGGGCCUGGUUAGUACCUGGAUGGGAGACCGCCUGGGAAUACCGGGUGCUGUAGGCU